rnacentral:tRNA from 1 species
GACUCGGUAGCGCAGCGGUCUAGCGCGCCUGCACGAUGCAUGGGAGGAGACCCUCAGUUCGACUCUGGGGCCGAGUUCG